GAUGAACGCUAGCGGCAGGCCUAACACAUGCAAGUCGAGGGGUAGAAUUAGCUUGCUAAUUUGAGACCGGCGCACGGGUGCGUAACGCGUAUGCAAUCUACCUUGUACAGGGGGAUAGCCCAGAGAAAUUUGGAUUAAUACUCCAUGGUAUAAUUGAAUCGCAUGGUUUGAUUAUUAAAGUUCCAACGGUACAAGAUGAGCAUGCGUCCCAUUAGCUAGUUGGUGUGGUAACGGCAUACCAAGGCGACGAUGGGUAGGGGUCCUGAGAGGGAGAUCCCCCACACUGGUACUGAGACACGGACCAGACUCCUACGGGAGGCAGCAGUGAGGAAUAUUGGUCAAUGGUCGAAGACUGAACCAGCCAUGCCGCGUGCAGGAAGACGGUCCUAUGGAUUGUAAACUGCUUUUGUACGGGAAGAAACACUCCUUCGUGAAGGAGCUUGACGGUACCGUAAGAAUAAGGAUCGGCUAACUCCGUGCCAGCAGCCGCGGU
rnacentral:rRNA from 1 species